rnacentral:misc_RNA from 1 species
ACCAAAUGGAAUAGCCCUUCCGUGAACAAACAAGUCUGCUGUUACCAAACAACACUCAAUAUUUAAAUGACACACCUGUAAUUACUAGCGCUGACUUGUUUGCAGCAAAUAACAUGUAGUCCUAUACGUGUAUGUAAAAGGAAACUAAAUACUUUCACUGUCGUGUUUAACUUCAAAAAUCUACCAAAUGUAGAUGUAAUGUAUAGCAAGUUCAUCGACUCUCUUCAUCACAUUGUCACAACAAGACUAUUGGAAAUCAUUUAAUCGGUGCAGAAACGUUGAGUCGGUAUGGUACAGCGGCUCGUUGGUUCUAGCGUCUUUUUCGGACUUGGAAGACUACAGUUACCAAGGCCCCAAUUAUUUCAAUGUCGCAAGCACCGACUGGAAACUGAAGGCUGAAGGUACUCGUGCAAGUGACCUAGCAUAUCUCAUGGAAGGACUUGUGCGUUGGGACAUAGAUCGUGCCGAUGCUGCUGCUGAGUCUGGUACGUCUCUGUCACCAAUGUGUACAGCGGAAUGCAGCAGCAUGCACUAAACCUGCUCUCGGAGCAGGUUCUCAGAAAGAAGUUGUACCCUACUUUCAAAGCACCAAACAAGUACACUGGAGAACUGAUUGGAGUGGAAAAUCAGACCAAUUAUGCACUCGAAAAUACCGUUGACGAGUACGAGGAUGAGAUUGCUGAUACUCUUAUUGAUGAGGGAUACAUCGAAAUAGAUGAUCCGACGCUACCACCAAUAACUCAGAAGACGCAUUCCUGGCAUGUGCAGCAUGAUUCACAACAGUAGCAGCUACAUGAUUAUGCAGCCCACAUCGGCCUGAAAACAUGGCACCUCCAGUCAUUGAAGUUAAUUUGGAUUUUGUUUUGUUAAACACUAUUGGUAUUUAUGUUUACUCUAACAUUUUUAUCUUCAUAAAUUUAGGAGCAGGAAGAAUCGUCGGUUAGCCCGGAUAAUAUUCCUGGAUUCGAAAAAGUAGAAGCCCUUGCAGAGUUCCUCUUCAGAUUUAGGGAGGAUCAUGGUGUGAUCGACAAAAGAGAGAUAAAAAACACAUAACUGACCUUUGGCAGAAUUUAGAACUAUACGACAAGGCCAUGAGGCGCAGUCAAAUGUUUAAGGAUCGGCUGGUCAAAGGUCGCUUCAAAACUAGCAGAAAGUCGACUGUAGUAGCUGGGAUUGAAAGCACAAGAAGGUGAUAUAAGUCAUUUUUCUUUUGAAGAGUAUAACACAAUAUUUAAAUUUUUGUUUGUAAAUAAUGUACAAUUUUCUUCAUUUGGCAGAUGUUUUUUGGGGCAUAACACUGAACCGGCCCAGUGGCCUGAUUGUAAUCGCUACAUGGAACGCUUGGUUUUGAAACUAUGUGGAGCAUUUUCCUCCCAUAUUUCAUGUCAAAGUAAAAAGGCUCAGAGAUGGUCUAUGAUAUUCAAAGCGUACAAAAACAUCCGCCAAACAGUGCUGUUGUUGUGCUGUUAAAUACCGGGCUCCAGUUGAUGGAAAUCAAUAGAACUACACUUAUUCAGUGGAAGUUUAACACAUUAAACAGCAUUACAGUACUAUCGGAAUUGCCUAUAGUUUAACUUGUUUUUAUGUUAUUUUAUAUUGUCUUUACGGAUGCUCCACAGGUACAACAAAUGUUCCGAAAGAGAGGAGCGAAAAAUACUGGAGUAUGGCAUUUCUGGUCCUACCCCAAAACUAGAUACCUCGACUCCCCUUCAUGCACCGCUUCAAAAACCAACAGCGAUCAACGUUGCAGAAGGAGCAACACAAUUCAAGUUUGUGACACCUUUGAAUACUGCAGAUGUUUUUUGGGGCCAGAACACCGGACCGGCCCAGUGGUCUGAUUCUAAUAGGUACGUGAAGGUAAAAGAACUCAGAGAUGGUCCAUGAUAAUGAAAGCCUACCAAAACAUAUGCCAGAAAGUUCUUUCCAACGCUGCUGUGUUAAGAAAUACUGGACUCCAGUUAAUGGAAAUUAAUAGAACAACACUUUUGCAGUGGUACAACAAAUGUUCUAAAAGGGACUCCCCUUCCCGCACCUCUUGAGAAACCAAUAGCAAUCAACGUUGCAGAAGCGGCAACAGAAUUCAAAUUUGUGAUGCCUUCGAAUACAGCUGGUAAGGCAACUUUUGGAAGGAAGCUGCCUGUGCCAGUAGCGUCUCAACCGUUGAUGUCACGAAGCAGAGAGCAUCUACCGCCAUGCUAAUCUUCUCUGUAUCGUUCCAAUUUUAGUAUAUGUACUGCCGAAGCAAGUACAUUUAUGGAGGAAAAACAUAUUUCUAUAUAUCUCUGGCUCAAUUUGACGUCACCAAAGAAAAUGUCGAUUUUAAAAAUUAUAUAAAUGUUACAUUGCUUUCAAAUAUAAUGGACAGGUUACAAAUCCUCAUUUUUAGCUUUAAAAGAAUUACCUUGUGAAUAUUGGGUUAAUAAGUUGUUAAUCAUUAUGAAAUAAAUUUUAUAACAGUAAAUUCUUAAAAUUUAAAUUCUUAUAAUGGGGCAAUUUAAAUAUGAGUAAAAUUGGGUACCGUAUGCUUUUCUAUAGCAAUGCAACCAAGCAUGUACCGUAGUAAUCAAUAGGCUAUCCAGUUGGUUUGAAAGCUCUAUUGUAACUAUUGAACCGACAGGCAGCAUUUAUUUUCCUCAUUUACUCCAAUUUUCUACUUAACUUAUAACAUUAUACGUUUUUUAUGCUGAACUGAAAUUUUAGAUAGUUGAUAGGUGUGCCUUAGUAAGUGCAGUUAAUAUCACAUUCGAUGAUGUAUAAAUAUGUCCCCACACGUGGGGAGUAUAGACAAAGCCUGACGACAUUGUUUUAAUAAGUUAAUAAUAACUUGAAAAUGUGACAGUAACACUGUAUGUAUUAAAUAUGUUUCAAAGGUGUAUUAAUUCUUCUUUUUUUCCUUUUUAAACGAAUAUUUGUUGUAUGUGGCACAAAAGGUUGUUUUUAAUUUUAUAUAACCAAAUUUGUGUCGAAUAAUUGUAUUAUUUUAAUAGAAGAGACAAACUUGAGGUGGAUGUACAUGAGCGUAGGCUAAGGGUACAGACUCACUCACCUCCACCCACACCCCCACCCCACCACCCCCUACCGGCUUAAAAUUACCAGUUCCAUUCAGUGGAUUAAAAUACUAUUAUAACAAAAAAUAGUUUCUCGUCCCCUCGCGCAUCCAUUAUCUCUGAAUUAUAUACCAUUUUUGUUUUCAUUUAUUUUACGAAAUGUAAAA